UACAAUGGGAAAACAAUUAAAAGUGAUACUCACUUCAUCGUCAUUACUCAUGCUUUUAUUAUCUCUGUUAAUCUGCAAAAGAGAAUUAUUUUCAGAUUUGUCAAGAAAAAAAAAAGGAUUAAUUACUGGUCACUCCAUUAACUUUCAUAUGCUCGAUAGUCUACUCCAUUAACUUUCAAUUUCAAUCGAUUACUCCAUUAACUAUCCAAUGUCACACAAUUAGGUCUAUCCGUUAAGUGGUCGUCCAAAUCAGUGGUUAAGUUGCUGACUGGACAUAUUUUUCAACUGGAAAUUCCAUUAACACCCUCUAUCCCUCCCUCCCUCCUUAAUCUCUUCAAUCUCUUCUCUCUCCUCCUCCACCUCCUCCGCAUCCACAACACCACCACAUCACCAGUUGGACCUCUAACAACACCGCAACAACAAUACGAGCAACCAACCAACCACAUCAACACCAUAAUCAAACACACCGCAACCAGACCACCAGCAACCAACCACACCACCAGUAGCUCACCCCGCAACUCCUCGACAUCUCUCUCCCAACGCCAAAAACUCAAACCCACCUACCUCGCAUCUCUCUCCCGAAGCCCAAAACUCAAACCCUCACAACAAUCUUCUCCCUUCGCCGCCAACCAAACCCUAAACAACACCAUCCAUGAACCUUCCGUUUUCCGCUUCAAACCCAUGCUAGACUUGAAAUCUCAACCACUUCGAAUCCCCAGUCAACAACCUCUUCUCGCUCGCCUCCCUUCCUCUAUAUGAAAUUGAAGCCAUUUGUUUGAUUGGAAACAGAUUUGGGAAUUGGGGAUUUCAAUCCCUAAAAUUUCAGAUUUGGGAAUUGGAAGUGUUGACGGUGAGCCACCAGAGGACGUUGGUGCUGUUGGCGGCCAGAGGUGGGACACCAGCGCGUUAGAGAUGGUGAGGAGGAGGGUGGUGUUGGAGUAGAGGAAGGCGCGGACGAGGUUGGGGUCAGAGACGUCAAGGAGAGGGCGGCGAGGCUAAGAGAAGUGAUGGUCGAGGCCAGGCGCUCUGGUAGCAAAGGGGUGGGGCAAGUGGCGACGGUGGAGGCGAAAUAGGUGACGCCAAUGGUGAUGGAUGAGGCGGCGUCCGGCGAGGAAGAGAAGGGUGAUGAGAGAAACGGCGAAGAGAGAAAAGUGGGAAGCCAUGGCUGGCUGAUGAGUUUUAAAUGUGAGAGAGAGAGAGGAGGGAGGAGAGAGAGAGAGAGAGAGAGAGAGAGAGAGAGAGAGAGAGAGAGAGAGGUAGUAGUAGUANNNNNNNNNNNNNNNNNNNNGAGAGAGAGGUAGGGUGUUAAAUGGAAUUUUUAGUUGAAAAAUAUGUCCAGUCAGCAACUUAACCACUGAUUUGGACGGCCACUUAACGGAUGGACCUAAUUGUGUGACAUUGGAUAGUUAAUGGAGUAAUCAAUUGAAAUUGAAAGUUAAUGGAGUAAACUGUCGAGCGCAUGAAAGUUAAUGGAGUGACCAGUAAUUAAUCCAAAAAAAAGAAGAAGAAUAAGAAGAAAAGAACGGCAGAGAGGUAAUAAAGAAAGAUGAUGCUCACUUCAUCGCCACUAUGCAUGCUAUCAUCAUCACCACUUGUGCUUUCAACUCCACUGGUCUGCAAAAGAGAAUCAAUUUCAAAUUGUGCCAAACAGAAGAAUAAUCUCAAAUGAUUAACUACAAGUUCUACAUCAACAAAAGCAAAGUACCUCGUUUGAGGAGUCAAUGCGGCCUUGUUCGGAAUCUUUCCCAUGAUCAUGUUCCAUAUCAGACAACUCGAUGUGAACUAGAGGACCACGAGGAGAAGAAGAGCUAAUGAACGUUAUGCAAUUACUUCGACGAAGAGGAGUAUUUGGAUCCAAUUAAAUUUCUUUUUGAUGUCUUUUCUUGCUUUUGGGCCCAAUGCAUUUUUCUUCUCUACAUAAUUAGAAGCACUACGUGCCCCAGGGGUCAAAGCAGCCGCCAUGCCCGCCUUCUUUCUCCUCCAAAAUGGUGACUUUGGAGGAAUUAUCAUCUUAACUCCUUUAGGAGUUUUGUACAUGAACUCUUCAAAAGCCACUUUAGGUUUGAAGUGGGAUGAGUACUUCUUGGGGUGGUGCUCCCUUACAAUUUUCUUAUCACUAGAAGUCUUAUCCCUCUCUUUUCUUUUUUUAUCCAUGCCCUUGGCUUCAAAGUCUUUGAAGUGACCAACAAUCUUCUUGGUUCCAUUUUCAUACACCUUAGUAUAAGGAAGGUUAUGUUUCCUAGCAUACGUCAAGACAUUAUUACAACUAGCUAGCCUACUGCUAGUAAGAGAUUAAAACUUCAUCUAGGGCUACCAACCUCCACAAACCAUCAAAACCUGUGCAACACCCCCUUCUAGUAACGACUGUAGUCAGGAGAAGCGUUAGGAUGCAAAAUGUCUCCAAGUAGCUGUGAUGGUAUGUCUGCAAGUCUGCCAGAGAAAUCAUCAAUACAAUCAACUUCUCUAGGUGAAAGCUUCCUAGCCUUCCCGACAGCUCUAAUGGAUAAAGGGGGAUGCACGGGAAUCUCUUGAGAACAACUGAGCUGCCUCAUAACCCUGUCAAGAGAAUAAACCACCGGAUUGAAAGCAAGGCUUCUUUGUCCUCGCCAAAGGAAGGAAUAAAACCUGUGUAAUUAGUCAAGUAAAGCUCGACAUGGCCUAAAGAUGUAGCACACUGCUCUUUCCUGCCAUAAAAGGAAAAUGCUUCAAAGCCAUGCCUCUGGAUAUAAGGCUGCAGAGCAAAGUUCUCCGGGUUAUCCAACAUUAUUGGAGCAAACACUUUUUUGUCUUGCCUCCUUUUAAGCCAGCGACACAACAAAGGAAGCUUGGGCGGCAGAUAUAUAACAUUGUUGUCUAAUAUGCCGUUAUACAAUUCCAAAGAUGAGCUCGGGGUCAGUGGUUUUACUUCCAAACACUUGAACCGCUCCCAAAUGAAUGCAUGUAGAAACGUAAUGGAAACCAAAGUGGUGACUCCACGCCGACCAACACUUUCUAGCUCAUCAACAACAAUGAAGUCUAACAAACAGUAAACAUGACCAAGGAACAGCGAAGCUAAAGGAAACCUAUGAAUUGUCGCUAUGGCAACCGCCAGGGGAUACACACGCUGCUUGACAAACUCAUAAAAGAAUUCAAUGGAAACAUACUUUGUUAACCAAAGAGCAAGCAUGGCUGCCAAACGGCAACCCGAGUCGAAACCUUCGCCUGGCAUUAACACACCAUCCUUUAUGACUCCCCAAAAGUGUUUCACCCAAUUUGCAAAACAGCGGCUACUCCCUUUGACACUAGAAGCCCCUGCUAUAAGAAUCUUUAGCUCCUCAUCACACAUGAUUUGUCAAGAGUAAAUCUAAAAGGAUCCAUGGUACCAGUAAUUGGAAGCCUCAUGAUAUUGAAGACAUCCUCCAAGGUGGGAGUGAACUCUCCCCAAGCACAGACAAAUGUGUGUGUGUGAGGAUUUCACCUCCGUACCACGUGAUUAAGAGUCUCAACAUCCCUGUUAAUAUCGCAACGAGAAGAAAUAAAUACGACAGACAAGACCCCAGCUCGUGAUAGUCUUUCUCUUACAACUUCAACCCUUAACUCAUAAUCAACCCACUGCGACCACCCUGUUACAGCACCGCAAGGAUAAGCAAAAUCUAUGGGGACUGCUGGGAAGUCUCCCCUCUCAAUUAAUAACCUGGAGAUGCGCUCAAGGCUAACGUCUCCAGAAGUCUCAUCAACAUCUAUGAAGGGACCCUUCAGACCAUCAUUAACCACAAAAUGGUGAUCUAUCAGACUCAACACUUUAGGGGCCAUAGUUUGUCAAGAUCACUUCAAAAAUAUAUAAGGGCCUGCGUACAUAACAGGAGAAUUUAUGUACAAAGCAAAACUAUCAAGCCACACCGUAUAUCGUUCGUAAGUAAUCUGAAAUUAAGGAAGAGACCAAGCAAAAAUUGUUACAAACAAAACCCUAUAUCCAAAACCAAAAGUCUCUUAUCAUAGCCAAGCCAAGCUGAAAAUCCUAAAUUACACAGCAAGCCAAG
rnacentral:lncRNA from 1 species